GACGAACGCUGGCGGCGUGCUUAACACAUGCAAGUCGAACGGAAAGGCCCUGCUUUUGUGGGGUGCUCGAGUGGCGAACGGGUGAGUAACACGUGAGUAACCUGCCCUUUACUUUGGGAUAACUUCAGGAAACUGGGGCUAAUACCGGAUAGGAGCUCCUGCUGCAUGGUGGGGGUUGGAAAGUUUCGGCGGUUGGGGAUGGACUCGCGGCUUAUCAGCUUGUUGGUGGGGUAGUGGCUUACCAAGGCCUUGACGGGUAGCCGGCCUGAGAGGGUGACCGGCCACAUUGGGACUGAGAUACGGCCCAGACUCCUACGGGAGGCAGCAGUGGGGAAUAUUGCACAAUGGGCGGAAGCCUGAUGCAGCAACGCCGCGUGCGGGAUGACGGCCUUCGGGUUGUAAACCGCUUUCGCCUGUGACGAAGCGUGAGUGACGGUAAUGGGUAAAGAAGCACCGGCUAACUACGUG
rnacentral:rRNA from 1 species